UUUCCGAAUUUUUCUCCACAUUUUUCGGAAUUUUCUCCGAAUUUUUCGAUAUUUUUUAGAAUCAAAACUCCCAAAAAUAAGCCCUGCCAUGAAUCUAUGUGCCAAUGUAAUAAAAUGAUACGUUUUUCAAUCGUAUAGUGAUUUUGGUAAAACCAAGGAUCGAUAGAACUUUUAACUAAAAACCUGUAAAGGUUUAGGUUCAUAUCAAGUGCUUAGCAAUAAAAGCCAUGUCAGAAAAAACAGUAAAAACAUUUUUAUUAU